AUCCAGCUGAUGAGUCUCAAAUAGAACGAAACGCGUUUCCUGGAU
rnacentral:hammerhead_ribozyme from 1 species